rnacentral:rRNA from 1 species
GACGAACGCUGGCGGCGUGCUUAACACAUGCAAGUCGAACGAAGUGGCGAACGGGUGAGUACUACGUGGGUAACUGCCCUCCUUUUGGGGAUAAGCCUUGGAAACGGGGUCUAAUACCGAAUAAAGGGGGAUGGGCUCGCGGCCGAUCAGCUUGUUGGUGGGGAGAUGGCUGACCAAGGCGGGGACGGGUAGCCGGCCUGAGGGGGGACCGGCCACAUUGGGCUUAGAUACGGCCCAGACUCCUACGGGAGGCAGCAGUGGGGAAUAUUGCACAAUGGGCGCAAGCCUGAUGCAGCCAUGCCGCGUGAGUGAAGAAGGCCUUCGGGUUGUAAAGCACUUUCGGCGAGGAGGCUUAAUACGCUCAUCAAUUGACGUUACUCGCAGAAGAAGCACCGGCUAACUCCGUGCCAGCAGCCGCGGUAAUAC